rnacentral:rRNA from 1 species
UCAGGAUGAACGCUGGCGGCGUGCCUAACACAUGCAAGUCGAACGAAGCAUACGGAUCGGAGAUCGUCGAAGGACCGUAUGACUUAGUGGCGGACGGGUGAGUAAUGUAUGAGCAACCUGCCUUUCAGAGGGGGGACAACAGUUGGAAACGACUGCUAAUACCGCGUAAUGUAUCGUGAGGGCAUCCUCGUGAUACCAAAGGAGCAAUCCGCUGAAAGAUGGGCUCAUAUCUGAUUAGCUUGUUGGCGGGGUAACGGCCCACCAAGGCGACGAUCAGUAGCCGGACUGAGAGGUUGAACGGCCACAUUGGGACUGAGAUACGGCCCAGACUCCUACGGGAGGCAGCAGUGGGGAAUAUUGGGCAAUGGGCGAAAGCUUUGACCCAGCAACGCCGCGUGAAGGAAGAAGGUCUUCGGAUUGUAAACUUCUUUUAUGAGGGACGAAGGACGUGACGGUACCUCAUGAAUAAGCCACGGCUAACUACGUGCCAGCCGCAGC